AAGAACUAUUGCGCUAUUGUGGACUGGAGUAAAGGCUGCAGGAGAGGAGGCGGAGCUCCGUGGUUGUGAGCCUUCCUGGAUUGGAUGUUUCCCCUGGAGAUUUGUUCGUGUCCAAUGGCGCUGCUGAUAUUUUAAAUAAAUCAGCCUAUUCAGACACUAAGAAAUCAAAGUGGCCCUUCUCAAGGCGUAGCACAGUAAGUGCAAAAAUUCUUAUAUUCUAACAUUUCAAUGCCAUCAUGCAGAUAUCUCUUCCGUGACAUUUUGCCAGUGCCAGUUCUGUGAUUAUUGCCAUCUGCAGAUGCUCUGUCAUCAUUUUUCAGAUGCUUUGGAUGAUAUCUAGCACAUAGUGUUCACAGACCCACUUUGAGCUAAAUCAGAUUUGAAUGCACGCAUCCCCUUCCCCCAAUCAAUUCCAUUAACAGUAAACAACAACAAAACGGG
rnacentral:lncRNA from 1 species